AGGAGGAUCAAGUCAAGAACUCAUCCAAGUAAGUGUCGCAAACUCAUCUCUUGCAUUUACUUUUUUGCCUAUCGUUUUCCUCUCCCCCACUUUUGAAAAACAAAAAUUUACAAAAAUAUUUGCCCUUUUCUUCGUUUGCCUUUUUCGUUCGCCCUCUUCUCUCGCUUGCUUCCUGUUCGCUUGUGUGGGAUAGUCUACCUGUACUCAUGGCUAGACCCACCGCUCCGAACGAUACUCCCGAGAACGAAGUUCUCAAUUUCAAGCAAAAUGAGGAAGAAAACUUAAAGGACGCUUGGUAUAGGAUUUGCAAUUCUCAGAGUAGAUCUACUCGUAAGCAGUCUACUACCGUCCUGCUUCGCAGUUUUUAUGUGGGUAUUUCUCCUUGGAAUAGGUAUAUUCUUGACACCAUCGUAGGCGGAAAUUUCUUGGGUAGCCAUACCGUUGAUUCUUACGGAGCUGUAAUAAAUUUGGUAGGCUCACCCCCACUCAUGGUUAAUGGAACUACCUUAACUCUGGAACAUGUGAUGCGUAGGCUGGACGUUAUUGAAAAUAAAGUUGCUACGAUCGAACUCAUUGAGAAUUUGGAUAAAAAGAUCCACAAUCAAAUCAUUCAGUACGGAUCCAAGGUGGGAAUGGUUUUGAAAAAUUUAAAGAAGAAGGAACCCACAGUUAACGAAAAACUAGGUCAUGAUUCCGCUAGGAUUCGCAAACUAGAGGAUGUUAUAACCAACUUGGGUUCCGCUUUUGUCGCUGUGCAGAAUACUCCAAACUUUGCCCACAACAAGGCCACCAAGUCUAUUUUUGUUCCUAAAAAUAGUGGUGAAUCAUCUAGUAAGAAAGAUGAAGACCUUAAGAUGAUGAGUGAUCACGCUACUUAUGGUUGGAGCACCAAAGACGACGAUACGUGAUUCUAUCGCUUUAUGCCUAGCUAAGGGCGUUAAACAAUAGCGCUUGUUGGGAGGCAACCCAACGAAUUUAUCUUUUUCUUUCUGUUUUGUUGCGUCUACACCAUCAUAAUUCUGUUAUGAUAGUGUCUUUUGUGUUUCUUUUUGUGUUUGAGCCAAGAAAAACCUUUAUGACUAGUCUUGGUGAUGGUUGUUUGAUCCUACUGGAAAAAGAUAGAAACUUUUCGCUCACGAGAUUAUUUUUUAUUUUUAUUCAGAAAGAUAUUUUGAGUUGAUUCUUUUUGCUUCUGGUUGAUAUGCCUUUUUCCCAGGCAGUCGUAAUUUUUUAGAAUUUUUGAGGUACCAGAAGUAUACGAAGUAUGCAUAUUGCUACAGACUGGUCUAUUUUUGACAGAUUCUGUUUUUGUUGAGUUGGUUGCUUGUUUUGAUGAAACUAUGGAUAGUAUCGGGGGGUACUAGCCAUGGAAAAGUGAGAAUACGGUAAUCUGACACCAAUAUAAAUAGAAAUCAAGAUUUCUACAGUACCUAAAGAAGUGGUAGUUUGUUUUCUUGUGCUAAUGAUAUCACGAGUUUCUGUUUAAGUUUUGUGUUGUGAAGUUUUCAAGUUUUGGGUGAUAUUCUCAUGGACAAAGGGAUAAAGAGUGGAAAGAUCNNNNNNNNNNNNNNNNNNNNNNNNNNNNNNNNNNNNNNNNNNNNNNNNNNNNNNNNNNNNNNNNNNNNNNNNNNNNNNNNNNNNNNNNNNNNNNNNNNNNCCCCCCCCUAAAUUAACCCUCCAAAACCCCCAACCCCCCUAAAAAAACAGCUCCGCUAGAUGCUGACGCGUGGAUGCCAUUUGGUCCCGGUUGGUGUGACUAACCAGGACUAAAGUUCCUCCUGCGUGGGCUCCCCGCAGCGGCCACGUGGAGAUCCUUCUGUCCUGGUUGGUAAGAAAACCGGGACUAAAGGUUUUGGGCUUUAGUCCUGACCCUUUAGUCUCGGUUCCAGAACCGGGGCUAAUGGGCCUCUGAAACCGAGACAAAUGGGCCAUUUUCUACUAGUGUGAAUAUGCAACUAACAAAUUAGAUUUAGCAACAAAUAGGUUGUCUAGAUAUACAACUAAGUGAGCAACCUAUAUGAUGCUAACAACAACAAUAAUAAGAAAGAAGUAAAUACAAGUAAAGGUAAGAAAUAACCACAAGUGGAACCGAUGAAGAUGGGGAUGUGUUUCCGAAGUUCCUUCCCUUUGAGGGGAAGUACGUCUCCAUUGGAGCGGUGUGGAGUCACAAUGCUCCCCAAGAUGCCACUAAGGCCACCGUAUUCUCCUCAUGCCCUCACACAAUGCGAGGUGUCGUGAUUCCACUAAGUGGUGCCCUUGAAGGCGGCGACCGAACCUUUACAAACAAAGUUGGGGCAAUCUCCAUAACUUAAUUGGAGGCUCCCAACAAGACCACAAAGCUUCACCACAAUGGAAUAUGGCUUCAAGGUGACCUCUUUCAUCUAGGGUGCUCAAACACCCAAGAGUAACAAUAUCCACGAGAGAUUAAUGGGGGGGACAACUUUUCUCUUGGUGGAAGUGUCGGGGGAGACCUUCUCCUCCAAACCCUAGAAAAUCAACAAGAGUUGAUGGCUAUGGAGGGAGAUCGAGCAAGUUUGUGCUUUUGGAGCAAAAAUGGAGCUUGAGAGGAAGGUGUGAGGUCUCCUCGGGGAAGAAGGCCCCUAUUUAUAAUGGGGGGAUCUGGCCGUUACUAGACCCUACUGGCCCAGCUAAGCGGUAGUAUUGUGCACUAGGGCGAUACUUCCGCUGGGGCGGUACUACCGUCCUGUAGGAGCGGUACUUCCGCUCAGCCUGGUCGUGGAGAGGUAAGAUACCAGAGAAAAAUACUAAGCGGAAGUGGGCACGACAGAAGGUGAGGCAGUACCGCUGGAGCGGUACUACCGCUCCCCCUGGGCGGUACUUCCGCCCAAACAAAUAAAAACGCCCCCCCCCCCNNNNNNNNNNNNNNNNNNNNNNNNNNNNNNNNNNNNNNNNNNNNNNNNNNNNNNNNNNNNNNNNNNNNNNNNNNNNNNNNNNNNNNNNNNNNNNNNNNNNNNNNNNNNNNNNNNNNNNNNNNNNNNNNAGCCCGACUCUAGUGGGCGGCAGUACCGCUAGAGCGGUACUACCGCUUCUACAAUUUCCUCCGCACUAAUUCACGGCAUCUCCUUUGCUCCGGAAAAGGGAUGGGGAGCAAGAAUGAGAGAUAGUGUUCCACCCAAGUUUUCCAAACGCGGAUCCCCUCUUGAUAGUACGGGAUUAUCUAUGACUCGAGUCCACCAACCCUAAAUCAAUAGCUAAGCAUUGUCUUCACUUUCACUUACUGAGGGGAAUAUAAGCGUCUUGUGCCACCACGAUUAGUCCGCUAAGGGUAUCGUCAUCAACCACCGAAAUUACUUAGGAGAAAUUGUGCUUUUACACUAGGGUUUCCCCCGGUAUGCAUAAGACAGUGUGGAAGGGGUAUACCCGACACCCCUUAAGGAGGAACGGCGGCGCCCGCAGACGUCACCGCGUUGGUGGCGGACGAGCCGCCAGGGGAUUUCUCCCGACCCAAACAACCAGCACCACCCCAAACUCCCCGUCGAACUCCACCCAGCUAGCCGCCCACCAGCAUGCGCCACCACGAUCUUGGAACCAUCUUCAUCAUUGCUCAGAGAUCACCGACAUGAGGCCAAGCGAAAGAAGAAGGGACAUCAGAGUUGGGGGAAACAACCACGCAACCGGAAAGGGGGGGACUGCCUCCACUGCCACUGCGACAACCGUCCGGAUGCGUCAAUAGGGACAAACCAGGCCCCUAGUGUCCCGGCCGGGCCCAAACGGUCCCGCGAAGCCCCCGUCCACACGCUGCAGCAUGCGGGCAGACCGCACCGCCGCCACCCAAGACCGUUAACACCCGACCUCCGCCGCUAGUGAGCGCCACCGCCGCGCACAGGACAACCGGCCCGCGCCAACUCAGAUGGGGCCCAAAGGGGCCCAGGUAUGGGCCGGGCGGGCGCCGCCGGCCAUGGCCGCACCAACAUCGCCCCGCAGACAACGCCUGCGCCGCCGAGUCGAAGAGCCCUCAGCCAGACUGCGCCGAGCGCAGCUGCCCUAGGAGCACCGCCAUCGGGAGGAGAGAGCCCCGCCUCCGCCUCCAAGCGCGCGGGGAAGAGAAAUCCGCCGCCGCCGGUGCCACCCGGGCAAGAGGCCGCCGGCGGCGAAGGGGGAGGGAGGAGGGAGGCCGACUGAGGUGAGGAGACGGGGUGGCCGGUGGGGGGGUGCCGUUCUCAUUUUCACUGCAGGAUAAUUGAUCGAGAGGUUCAAAUUUUCUAAAGAAACUAUGUGGUAUUUUUCCCAUUGUUUCCUACAACCCCAAAAAAUCCACCUUUUUGCCAGAUUCUCUAGAAUUCCAUAUGAGACCUUUCGUUUCAAAGAAUUUGAACAACAAUGUCCGUUCUCGACUAAAAAGAAAUCAGUAAUCGAGUGGAUAUGUCUUUUGUGAACGUUGUUGCACUGUGCAUGCUGUAUUGCUCUGUUGCCAUUCGGUAACAUGAACAACCGAUCUUUUGUACAAAAAUGAUCAUUUUAAGCAAGAGGAGAUUAUUAGGUCCAUGAGGAAGCAGGCAAAUACAUAUAAUCGCAGAGGUAUUACACAUAAGAUUUGUGAGGCUAACAUUCACAUCGCCACUUGACGAGCUACUGAUACAAACAUUGGAUUGGGCACGCGGCAGCCUCGAUCGUUCAAGCAGCAACCUCCUUGAUCUCGUCCAGGGCGUAGUUGUUGGUCGACACGCCGGCGUAGUUCACCUUGGCGAAACGCACCACCACCGGGUAACGGGUGUUGGGAUCCUACACGCGCACCAUUCAUCAUUGAUCAUCGAAUUCGCUCACAGAAGCAUUCCAUUGCAACAAGAUCGUUGGUUACCUGAUCAACCGUGACGACGGAUCCAGUCCCGUUGUACCAGUAGGACUCCCUCCUCAGAAUCUUCACCUGAUCGUUUCAUUUCAUGCAAGAGCUAGCUGAGCCACGAUUGCCCUAGCCGGUCCACACAAAGAAGCUCAACAAAUUAAGGAGUGUAGUGUACUGACGUACCUUGGUGCCCCUCUUGGGUCCCCUCGGCGGCGGCUUGGCUUUGGCGGGCUCUUUGGUGGCCACGGCGGCUUCCGGUUUCUCGUCCGCCGCCGGUGCUGGUUCCGCCGGCGCGGCGGCAGUCGGCUCCUCGGCCCGGGCCACGAGCUUCAAGCCGAGCCGGUUGGACGGGAGGAAGCUGACACGGCUGNNNNNNNNNNNNNNNNNNNNNNNNNNNNNNNNNNNNNNNNNNNNNNNNNNNNNNNNNNNNNNNNNNNNNNNNNNNNNNNNNNNNNNNNNNNNNNNNNNNNNNNNNNNNNNNNNNNNNNNGGGGAUGCCCGCCGCCAGCAUGAAUCUGGAGGUGGCCGACGCCAUGUUGGUGCUCGCCAUCGGGACGGCAGCAGGUGCUGUUUGUGGGUGCUAGCUAGCUCGCUCCUUCCUUGUGGUCGUGUGGCUCCGGCCGGCAAAAGUAUGUAAGUCGAUGGCGAGGUCGGUGUAAGGCGAAAUAGCCUUGGUCGGGAUGGCGAGCGGAGAUAGGCGGAUUAUCUAUCUCCAGCCAAGUGGGUGAUUUGUGCCAGCCACUGCGGUGCCGCCGCAUGGCAUAUCUUAUCCUCCCAUGUGGAUAACCUCCCAUCCAUGCGAUGGACUUGCUUGCUCGCCCACAUACACAGAUUGCAAUCUUGUCUUGGUUUAUUUCGGCCAUCGUUGGUUUCCAGCCGAGUUUUCUACAGUUAAUUGUGUAGGUUCCUUGAAAACACACUUCUACAUAAAUUAGGUAAAAGACACCAUGUCUACAUUAUUAUUAUUAUUUUGCGUAAACUUCUAAUAGGUGGAUUAGAGUGUUUUGAGUAUGCUUUCUACCAGUAGACCUCGCUAGUCAAGAGCUGACUUGGCAAAAAAAAAAAAAACCGACCACAUGGACGAUUUUUUUAACCAAAAAGAUCAUGAUAUAUUAUAAAUCGUUCAUCACAAGUGUAAAACACCUGAAAAUAUAAUGAAAAUUACACUGAAGAACGCAAGCCGUCAACUUGUCGUUGUCACCGCUCCCCUAUCGGAGGCAGCUUGACCUUGUCGAUGACAACCGAAAAGUCUUCGUGCAUGUGCCCCUAAGGGUUAGCACCCUAGCGCUGCAACCAUCGUCAUUGAACUCUUUAAUAUAUUUGAUUUCAAGCAACUGACCCCAAAUCUUGUCAUCACACUCGCAUAACGAGAAACCCGGACCUCGUCGCCUCAAGGAGGCAACAAGAACCUACGCAAGAGCUUCGUCGUCUACAUCAAGAUGGACGAACUCGAGGAGGAUCGGAGUUGGGAAGAUAAACUCGAAGAAGAAGCGCAACCAUCCGCCUGAGCGUCGCAUCUGCGAUGACCAAAAACCCUAACCUAAACUACUAGCUAGAACUAAGGCAGCAGGAUUCCCCUCCCUAUCAUCGGCCACCAGAGCAGCAGUCGGAGGGGAGGCGAAUUCACGGGCUGACCGAUGAAGUUGUUGGAAAUAUGCCCUAGAGGCAAUGAUAAAAUAGUUAUUAUUAUAUUUCCUGUUUCAAGAUAAUCGUUUAUUAUCCAUGCUAUAAUUGUAUUGAAUGAAAGCAUAGAUACAUGUGUGGAUAUAUAGACAAAACAAUGUCCCUAGUAAGCCUCUAGUUGACUAGCCAGUUGAUCAAGGAUGGUUAAGGUUUUCUAAACAUAUGCAAGUGUUGUCACUUGAUGACUGGAUCACAUCAUUAGGAGAAUGAUGUGAUGGACAAACCCCAAACUAUAAACGUAGCAUGUGAUCGUGUCAUUUUGUUGCUAUUGUUUCUGCGUGUCAAGUAUUCAUUCCUACGACCAUGAGGUCAUGUAACUCACUGACAUCGGAGGAAUACCUUGUGUGUAUCAAACGUCGCAACGUUACUGGAUGACUAUAAAGGUGCUCUACAGGUAUCUCUGAAGGUGUCCGUUGAGUUAGCAUGGAUCAAGACUGGGAUUUGUCACUCCGUGUGACGGAGAGGUAUCUCGGGGCCCACUCGGUAAUACAACAUCACAUAUAAGCCCUGCAAGCAAUAUGGCUAACGCGUUAGUCACGGGAUCUUGUAUUACGGAACGAGUAAAGAGACUUGCCGGUAACGAGAUUGAAAUAGGUAUAGGGAUACCGACGAUCAAAUCUCGGGCAAGUAACAUAUCGAAGGACAAAGGGAAUGAUAUACGGGAUUAUAUGAAUCCUUAGCACAGAGGUUCAACCGAUAAGAUCUUCGUAGAAUAUGUAGGAUCCAAUAUGGACAUCCAGGUCCCGCUAUUGGAUAUUGACCGGGGAGUGUCUCGGGUCAUGUCUGCAUAGUUCUCGAACCCGCAGGGUCUACACACUGUUCGGUGAAGUUUCGGUAUAAUUGAGUUAUAGGUGUUGGUGACCGAAGGUUGUUCAGAGUCCCGGAUGAGAUCACGGACGUCACGAGGGUUUUCGGAAUGGUCCGGAAACGAAGAUUGAUAUAUAGGAUUGUUUCAUUUGGCCUCCGGAAAGAUUUCGGGCAUUACCGGCAAUGUACCGGGAGUGACGAAUGGGUUCCGGGUUUUUACCGGGAGGGGCCCACCCACCCGAGAGUGAACCUAAUAGCCCAAGGGUGGCGCACCAGCCCUUAGUGGGCUGGUGAGGCCAGCCGAAGUGGGCUAUGUUGGCUAGAAGGAAAAAUCAAAGGAAAAAAAGAGGGAGGUGGGAAGGAAGGAGGGGACUCCUCCUUCCCCAAACCGAAUUGGAGUUGGAGUCUCCUCCUCCUCCUCUCGGCCGGCGCCCUAGGGGCUCCCUUGAGACCAAAGGCUAGCCCCUCCCCUCCUCCUAUAUAUACUAGAGGUUUUAGGGUUUUUGUGACACAACUUUGCCACGUGCAACCCUAAACCUCUACUUCGUAGUUCUUCCUCUAGAUCGGUUUUCUGCGGAGCUCGGGCGGAGCCCUGCAGGAAUAGACCAUUACCAUCAUCGGCGCGCCGUCAUGCUACCGGAGAACUCAUCUACUUCCCCCGUCUCUCUUGCUGGAUCAAGAAGGCGGAGAUCGUCAUCGAGUUGUACGUGUGCUGAACGCGGAGGUGUCGUCCGUUCGGCGCUAGAUCGGAACGGAUCAUGGGACGAAUGUGAUUUGAAUCACGAAGCUGUACCACUACAUAAACCGCGUUUCUUAAGGCUUCCUGCUUAGCGAUCUACAAGGGUAUGUAGAUCCGACCUCCCUCUCGUAGAUGAACAUCACCAUGAUAGGUCUUCGUGUGCGUAGGAAAUUUUUUGUUUCCCAUGCAACGUUCCCUUACAGUGGCAUCAUGAGCUAGGUUCAUGCGUAGAUGAUAUCUCGAGUAGAACACAAAAGAGUUUGUGGGCGUUGAUGUUCAAUUUGCUGCCCUCCUUAGUCUUUUCUUGAUUCGGCGGUAUUGUUGGAUUGAAGCGGCCCAGACCAACAUUACUCGUAUGCUUACGAGAGACCGGUUUCAUCAACUAACAUGCAACUUGUUGCAUAAAGAUGACUGGUGGGUGCCUGUUUCUUUAACUUUAGUUGAAUCGGAUUUGACCGAGGCGGUCCUUGGAGAAUGUUAAAUAGCAACUUGCACAUCACCAUUGUGGUUUUGCGUAAGUAAGAUGUGAUCAUACUAGAUACCCGUAGCAGGAAUUGCGGAAUAGAAGGCUGGCGAAGGAUGAUGUGACGAUGCGCGUGGGAAAUGGUUCCAAGGUUGAUGCAAUCGUCGUCGGCACAGUCUCACUUCAGUUACCAUCAUGAUUAGUUAUGAACUUAAAUAAUUGUUAUUUAGUGCCUGCGCUAAGCAUGAACAUUAUAUAUGGAUCUUGUUUAUUGCGAGACGGAUACUUAUUUAAUUCUGAGCAUAAUGGUUGUUCUAUUUUUAUGAGUAAUAUCUUUUAUGGUCAUGCACCCAAUGUGAGGGGUUUGUUCAUAUUGAAUCUUGAUUGUGAUGACACACAUAUACAUAACAUUGAGACCAAAAGAUAUAGAGUUAACAAUGACAGCGCCACCUUUUUGUGGCACUGCCGCUUACGUCAUAUUGGUGUAAAGCGCAUGAAGAAACUCCAUGCUGAUGGGUUUUUGGAGUCACUUGAUUUCGAAUCACUUGACACGUGUGAACCAUGUCUCAUGGGCAAGAUGACUAAGACUCCGUUCUCCGAAACAAUGGAGCGUGCAAGUGACUUGUUGGAUAUCCUACAUAUUGAUGUGUGCGGUCCAAUGAGUGUGGAGGCGCGCGGUGGAUAUCGUUAUUUUCUCACCUUCACUGAUGAUUUGAGUAGGUAUGGAUAUAUCUACUUGAUGAAGUACAAGUUUGAAACGUUUGAAAACUUCAAGCAAUUUCAGAGUGAAGUUGAAAAUCAUCCUAACAAGAAGAUCAAGUUCCUACGAUCUGAUCACGGAGGCGAAUAUCUGAGUUUCGAGUUUGGUGCUCACUUAAGACAAUGUGGAAUCGUUUCACAGUUGACACCGCCUGGAACACCACAGCAUAAUGGUGUGUCCGAACAUCGUAUUACUUUGUUAGAUAUAGUGCGAUCUAUGAUGUCAUCUCUUACCGAUUUGCCAUUAUCAUUUUAGGGUUAUGCAUUAGAGACAGUUGCAUUCACUUUAAAUAGGGCACCACCAAAAUCCAUUGAGACGACACCGUAUGAGCUAUGGUAUGGCAAGAGGCCAAAGUUGUCGUUUCUUAAAGUUUGAGGAUGUGAUGCUUAUGUUAAAAAGCUUCAGCCUGAAAAGCUGGAACCCAAAGCGGAAAAGUGCGUCUUCAUAGGUUACCCAAAAGAGACAGUUGGGUACACCUUCUAUCUCAGAUCCGAGGGCAAAGUGUUUGUUGCUAAGAACGGAGCUUUUUUUAGAAGGAGUUUCUCUCGAAAAAAUUGAGUGGGAGGAAGAUAGAACUUGAUGAGGUUGUGGAACCUCUGCUCCCUCUAGAUGGUGGCGCGGGGCAGAGGGAAAUCUCUGUCGAGGCAACACAGGUUGAGGAGGAAGCCAAUGAUGGUGAUCAUGAGGCUUCGGAUCAAGUUACUAUCGGACCUCGCAGGUCGACAAGAUCACGUACUACUCCUGAGUGGUACGAAAAUCAUAUCUUAUCUAUCAUGUUAUUAGACAACAAUGAGCUUGCGGAUUAUGAAGAAGCAAUGGUGGGCCCGGAUUCCAACAAAUGGUUAGAGGCCAUGAAGUCUGAGAUAGGAUCUAUGUAUGAAAACAAAGUGUGGACUUUGGUAGUAUUACCUGAAGGUCGUAAGGCUAUUUAGAACAAAUGGAUCUUUAAGAAUAAGACGGACGCGGAUGAUAAUGUGACCGUUUCUAAAGCUCGACUUGUGGCAAAGGGUUUUUCACAAGUUUAAGGAGUUGACUACGAUGAGACAUUCUCACCGGUAGCGAUGCUUAAGUCCAUCCGAAUCAUGUUAGCAAUAGUUGCAUUUUUCGAUGAUGAAAUCUGGCAGAUGGAUGUCAAAACGGCGUUCCUUAAUGGCUUUCUUAAGGAAGAGUUGUAUAUGAUGCAACCCGAAGGUUUUGUCGAUCCAAAGAAUGCUAACAAAGUAUGCAAGCUCCAGUGAUCCAUUUAUGGACUGGUGCAAGCAUCUCGGAGUUGGAAUAAGCGCUUUGAUGAGGUGAUCAAGGCAUUUGGGUUUAUACAAGUUGUUGGAGAAUCUUGUAUUUACAAGAAAGUGAGUGGGAGCAGCGGAGCAUCCGCCUCCAGAGGCUUUGAUGAGGUCUAAAUUAUUGAAAGGUUCAAGUAAUUUCAGAGUAGUGAAGUUCAAGAUCAUCGUGACAAGAGGAUAAAAUGUCUAUGAUAUGAUCGUACAGAUGAAUAUCUGAGUUGCGAGUUUGGUACACAAUUAAGAUAGUGUGGAAAACGUUUCACAACUAAUGCCACCUGGAACACUCUAGUGUGAUGGUGUGUCCGAACUUCAUAGCCGCGCCCUAUUGGAUAUGGUGCAUACUAUGAUGUCUCUUAUCGAAUUACCACUAUAGUUUUUGGGUUAGGCAUUAGAGACAACUGCAUUCACUUUAAAUAGGGCACCACGUAAUUUCAUUGAGAUGACACCGUAUGAACUAUGGUUUGGAGAAACCUAAGUUGUCGUUUCUUAAAAGCUUGGGGCUGCAACUAUUAUGUGAAAAAGUUUCAGUCUGAUAAGCUUGAACCCAAAGCGGAUAAAUGCAUCUUCAUAGGAUACCCAAAACAGUUGGGUAUAUCUCCUAUCUCAUAUCCGGAAGCAAAGUGUUUGUUUCUAGAAACGGGUCCUUACUCGAGAAAAGGGUUCUCUCGAAAGGAUUGAGUGGGAGGAUGGUGCAAACUUGAUGAGGUUAUUGAACCGUCACUUCAACCAGUGUGUAGCAGGGCGCGGGAAGUUAUUCCUGUGGCGCCUACACCAAUUGAAGUGGAAGCUGAUGAUAGUGAUCAUGAAGCUUUGGAUCAAGUUACUACAAACCUCGUAGGUCGACAAGGUCAUGUACUGCUCCAGAGUGGUAGGGUAACCCUGUCUUGGAGGUCAUGUUGUUGGAAAACAAUGAACCUACGAGCUAUGGAGAAGCGAUGGUGGGCCCGGAUUCGACAAAUGGGUGGAGGCCAUGAAAUACGAGAGAGGAUCCAUGUAUGAAAACAAAGUGUAGACUUUGUAAGAACUACUUGAUGGUCGUAAGACUGUUAAGUACAGAUGGAUCUUUAAAAAGAAAUACAAACGAUGAUGGUGAAAGGUCACCAUUAAGAAAGCUCGACUUGUCGCAAAGAUGUUUCCGACAAGUUCAAAGAGUUGACUAUGAUGAGACUUUUUUACUCGUAGCGAUGCUAAAAGUCUGUUGGAAUUAUGUUAGCAGUUGCUGCAUUAUUUAUGAAAUCUUGCAGAUAGGAUGUCAAAACAUUGUUUCCUCGACGGUUUCCUUGAGGAAAGGUCAUAUAUGAUACAACCAGAGGGUUUUGUCAAUCCUAAGGAUGCUAACAAGUAUGCAAGCUCCAGCGAUCCUUCUAUGGACUGGAGCAAGCAUCUCGGAGUUGGAAUAUAUGCUUUGAUAAGAUGAUCAUAGUUUUUGGUUUAUACAAAGUUUAUGAGAAACUUGUAUUUCCAAAGAAGUGAGUGGGAGCACUGUAGAUUUUCUGAUAAGUUGAUCGAAGAAAGACGUGAUCGAAGCCCGGAACUGUAUGGUUGUUAGAUUCAUUACAAUCACAUAGUGAUGUGAACUAGAUUAUUGACUCUAGUGCAAGUGGGAGACUAUUGGAAAUAUGCCCUAGAGUCAAUAAUAAAUUGGUUAUUAUUAUAUUUCCUUGUUCAUGAUAAUAGUUUAUUAUCCAUGCUAGAAUUGUAUUAAUUGGAAACUCAAAUACAUGUCUGGAUACAUAGACAACACACUGUCCCUAGUGAGCCUCUAGUUGACUAGCUCGUUGAUCAAAGAUGGUCAAGGUUUCUUAGCCAUAGACAAGUGUUGUCACGUGAUAAUGGGAUCACAUCAUUAGGAGAAUGAUGUGAUGGUCAAGACCCAAACUAUGAACGUAGCAUAUGAUCGUGUGAGUUUAUUGCUACUAUUUUCUGCAUGUCAAUGUAUAUGUUCCUAUGACCAUGAGAUCAUGCAACUCUGAGACACCGGAGGAAUACCUUGUAUGUAUCAAACAUCGCAACGUAACUGGGUGACUAUAAAGGGGCUCUAUAGGUAUCUCCGAAGGUGUCUGUUGGGUUGGCAUGGAUUAAGACUAGGGUUUGUCACUCCGUGUGACGGAGAGGUAUCUCGGGGCCCACUCGGUAAUACAACAUCACAACAAUCCUUGCAAGCAAUGUGACUAAGGAGUUAGUUACUUGAUCUUGUAUUACGGAACGAGUAAAGAGACUUGUCGGUAACGAGAUUGAACCAGGUAUUGAGAUACCGUCGAUCGAAUCUCGGGCAAGUAACAUACCGAAGGACAAAGGGAACAACAUACGGGAUUAACUGAAUCCUUGACAUAGAGGUUCAACCGAUAGAGAUCUUCGUAGAAUAUGUAGGAGCCAAUAUGAACAUCCAGGUCCCUCUAUUGGUUAUUGACCGAGGAGUGCCUCAGGUCAUGUCUGCAUAGUUCUCGAACCCGUAGGGUCUGCACACUUAAGGUUCGGUGACGUUUCGGUAUAGCUGAGUUAUAGGUGUUGGUGAUCGAAGGUUGUUCGGAGUCCCGGAUGAGAUCAUGGACAUCACGAGGAGCUCCGAAAUGGUUCAGAGGUAAAGAUUGAUAUAUAGGAAGUCCUGUUUUGGUCACCGGAAAAAUUUCGGGUACUUUGGUAGUGUACCGGGAGUGCCGAGAGGGUACCGGGGACCAUCGGGAUGGAUGUCACGCCCCGAGGGGCCUCAUGGGCUGUGGGAGGAGACAAACCAUCCCCUAGUGGGCUGGACUAAGCCCCCACUAAGGCCCAUGAGGUUUGAGAAGGAAAAAACCCAAAGGUGGAAGAGGAGGAAAGGGUUUCCAAGUGGAGAGGAGGAAUCCUACUCCUAGUAGGAUUGGAGUAUGACUCCUCCACCUCCAAUUUCGGCAAAACCUUGAGGGUUUGAGGCUGCCUCCUCCCCUCCCUCCCUCCCUCCUAUAUAUACUAGAGUAUUUAGAGGCAACCCUAACCCUAAUUGCCACGUGCUCCCUCUACUUCUCUCUAGAUUUGUUUCUCCUCUAGUCUAGUUCGGCGGUGCUUAGGCAAAGCCCUUCUGGAUUAGUUCACCACCACCACCACCACGCCACCGUGCUGGAGAACUCAUCUACCUCUCCGCCCCUCUUGCUGGAUCAAGAAGGCGGGGAAUCGUCAUCGAGCUGUACGUGUGCUGAACGCGAAGGUGUCGUUCGUUCGACACUAGAUCAGGAUGGAUCGUGAUGAGAUUGUGGGACGGGCCGUGAUUUGGAUCACGAAGAUGUUCCACUACAUCAACCGCGUUAUAUACGCUUCAGCUUAGCAAUCUACAAGGGUAUGUAGAUUCACUCUCCCCCUCAUAGAUGAUCAUCACCAUGGAUAGGUAUUGCGUGUGCGUAGAAUUUUUUUUGUUUCCCAUGCAACGUUCUCCGACACGAUGUCGAUUCAACACUACAUGUCGGGGGGGGGGGGGGNNNNNNNNNNNNNNNNNNNNNNNNNNNNNNNNNNNNNNNNNNNNNNNNNNNNNNNNNNNNNNNNNNNNNNNNNNNNNNNNNNNNNNNNNNNNNNNNNNNNNNNNNNNNNNNNNNNNNNNNNNNNNNNNNNNNNNGUUAUGUUUCUUCAAGAAACACAUUCAUUAACGUAGUGCUUUGGCGAGUCAACGAUUAGUACGUACACAAAAUUAGAAAAGUUCUCUUGGUCCCCAACUUAGACUAGUGAGACUGUCAACCUCACUAGCUUCGCUAGUUAUAAUAAAUAACGUAUUGUGGGGUUGGAAAUCACUUUUGUAAAGAGUGAAAGUAAAAUUUGAUACUGUAAAGGAACAUAAAAUAAAGUGAUUGGGUUGUAUUUAUGGGAAUUAAGGACGAAGAUAUAUACCUUCACUAGCGACAUCUCCAUAAAAACAUUGUUGAUGUGACAUAUUACAGUUGUGUAUCGAUUAAAUUGCAGUGUUUAUGAUUCAAUCAUACAUGACAUGAUUGCAUAUAGGCAUUACAUACUUGUAUCCAUGGACCAUUAUACAACUACACCUAUAGCUAAUACUCCACCCCAAGACCGUUAACCAACAUGCAUCUUAUAAAGUGUUAAGUAAAAUAGAUGAAAAACUCUGGGGUUAGGCAAAUGUGCAGGUAUUCUUGAUCUGGCUGCUUUGCACUAAGCUAGGUGUCAUAAUAUUGAUAUGGUAUUCUCCUUAUUUACAAUUCACCACUGAGACUAUUAGGAAACUAUCUUUUUUCCUUAGUGGCAAUAACACACUACAAUCCUUGUUUUCCCUUUUUGUCACUUCGAGAGAUUACUUGCAAAGUUAACCCAACAACAUACACCAACCCCUCUUGGAGACUAUACAUCUAAUCAUGAUUAGUGAAAGCCUAAUAGAUCGAAGAUCACAUACAUCUGUAAAUCAUGUAGAAAUGGACCAAAAGAAACCAAUAUAAAUCCAUGUAUAAUGAAUCAUAAAGUGAUAGUUUAUCACGCCGGCACAAACACAUCGGGAAUUACAUCAAAUUGAUCACGAUCAUGUAGGAAACCUCAUCUGAUCCUUGUAUUGAGGAACAAGGGAGAGACGAUGCCAAUAGUUACUGGUAUGGACCCAUAUACCAAGGAGGUCUACUUACACAUGGGCAUCGGAGCGACGAGGUCGAUGAAUAUAAAUCUGACAGUGAAUUACCCCUCCAACAGAGUACCCGAAAAGGCCUCCAAAUUGAAUUGAUUCGAAACACGUGAUGACGGUGAUAAAAUUAAUCUUUAAAUCUUUCUGGGUUUUUGACAUGAUAUAAAGUCAAAGCGACUGAGAGGCGGCCGAGGCAUGUCCUAGUGGGCCCACAUGCACCUACGAUGUGGCCUAGGGACAGUCCUUGUGGGUCCCAUGGGCCACCCCUCUGCUGCUUAUUGCACCCUCUAGUGUCUCUUGAUGUUCAAUCUUUUGGUUGUAUUUUUACUUUAUUUUUUGGUACGCGAGAAAUAUUGUUUCAGCAAAAUCCAGAAACGAGCAAAAAAAAACAAACUGGCGGUAGGCAAUGAAUUAAUAGGUUAGUCCAACAAAAUGUAUACAAUUUUGUCAAGAUGGUGUAACAACUACUCCUACAAAGAAUGUUGGAGUACCCGCCUUUGAGGGCGAAGAGGGCCUCUGCAACGGGUGUUGGUGAUGCGUCGCAGGGACCUCUUGGGGCUCUCCACGUCGUCCCAUACCGUCAUCUCUUUUGUUGUUGCGUGUAUCCUUCAUCUACACUCCACUUUCGGCAAUGAUCAUCCUCCUUUGGAGAUAAUUUCAUUAGUGGCACUCUUCUAUAUCAGGUCACUUCACACCCAUUGCAUCAUCAACCCCUUGGUCUAUGACCACCCUUCUCGUCGUGACAUAGCGCUUCCCCUUCAUGCGUGCGUCAAAAUCUCUCCCAUCCUCACUUCUUUAUGUUAUUGACAAUCACCAUUCUUUCGUUGAGUGGUCGUGGUUCGGGGUGUGUAAUGGUACCAUUCCUGGGUGUGACCAAUAGCGGCCUACCCCUAUCGACAGUUUCGAUGCUUUCAUGGUGGAGCUCUCCAGUAUUGUACCAUGUAGUUUGCUUCUCUCCUCUCUCUUGACAUGGAGUGCUACCUUAACAACCUCUUGGUGUUGCCUAGUGAUGUCCUUAAUGUAUUAUGUCAUUAAUCUUUUAGUGAUCUUUGUGUGUGUUUUAUUGUUUUGGACUUGUGAAGGUUUUCGAUCUGGUUUCGUACGUUGAUCGGAUCACGAUUCUCGAUCUGCUUUCUUUCUUCAUAUGAACUGAAUCACAAUUUUCAAACUUGUUUCCCCGUAUAAACCUACUCCAUUUCUUUGAACAAAUAUCGAUAUGCAUUGUUGGCAUAUUAAAAAAUACUCCCCCCGUCCCACAACAUAAUAACGUUUUUAGCACUAAGUGUGUCACUCAAAAAAAUCACAAGAGUUUUUUUUAAAGAAAAGAAGAAGAAAGCCAACCGGCGCGCGCAGCCGUCCACACAAACCACCACCAUAUCCUCCACACCAGCCUCCCGCCGUCGCGCGCCAUGCCCGACUCGGCCUCGCCGCCGCAGCGCCAACGAUGGCCCCCUCCCUCGCCGCCACGCCGCUCCCCGCCACCUCCUCUCACCCCAGCUCAUCCUCCUCCGUCCAGCUCCUCCGCUCGCUCGCGCGCUCCNNNNN
rnacentral:lncRNA from 1 species